UUUUCUGUUUGCGCGACACUUUUUUUCACUCAAAACCUUUCAACUUUUCAGAAAGGCGCUGUUGAUGUCACCGGCGCUAUUUUCCAAAUUUCCAAUAUUCCCCGUACUUUUGCCUCCUACAGAUCAUAUCAAAUAUAAAACAUUCAGCUAAAAGUAACGGAGCAUUGUCGGUCAUACAGCGGCUGUUAUAAAUAGACUGUUGUCAUAGUAACAGGACGGACGUGCAGCGCUUUUCUUCUCAGUGCACACACACUUCAUGCACGGGGUCUAACAUUUGUCUCUUUACUGCAAGCCUCAAACUCAACUCAGCAAAAUGACGACUUGAAACCAACACCUGACAAAGUCGAAGUUAUGAAAUGUUAUUAAGUUAUAUUAAGUCAUGAUUCUCUCGUUUUUUCGUCUUUGUUUUGGUCGGAAUGAGCUUCCGUAUUUCACCUCGAGUGCCAGGACAACCGUCCCAGAAGAAAGAUAAAGCAAAGAGUUGUGUCAGGUCCAGGCGACAUUCACACAAACAGCAUUUUGGAAUUAUUGUGGCGAAAACAAAAACAUCUCUGUGACCCCGUUUAGACUUCUUUUACAUUCAUUUUUUUUAAAUGACAGCAUUUUGGAUAUUGUGUUCACUGUUAGCCCUGUGCUUAUAAACGUCUAAAUAAAAACUCCACACUGCAAAGAGAAAAAAAAUAAAAA